UAGCUUCAGGCGACGAUGGGUAGCCGACCUGAGAGGGUGAUCGGCCACACUGGAACUGAGACACGGUCCAGACUCCUACGGGAGGCAGCAGUGGGGAAUAUUGGGCAAUGGGCGCAAGCCUGACCCAGCAACGCCGCGUGAGGGAAGAAUGUCUUCGGAUUGUAAACCUCUGUCCCAUGGGACGAAACAAAUGACGGUACCAUGGGAGGAAGCUCCGGCUAACUACGUGCCAGCAGCCGCGGUAAUACGUAGGGAGCAAGCGUUGUCCGGAAUUAUUGGGCGUAAAGGGUGCGUAGGCGGUAAUCCAAGUCAGAUGUGAAAUCCCCGGGCUUAACUCGGGACGUGCAUUUGAAACUGGGUCACUUGAGUAAAGAAGAGGUAAGUGGAAUUCCUAGUGUAGCGGUGAAAUGCGUAGAUAUUAGGAGGAACACCAGUGGCGAAGGCGACUUACUGGUCUUUUACUGACGCUGAGGCACGAAAGCGUGGGGAGCAAACAGGAUUAGAUACCCUGGUAGUCCACGCUGUAAACGAUGGACGCUAAUGGCCGGAG
rnacentral:rRNA from 1 species